rnacentral:rRNA from 1 species
AUAGUUUCUUGAGUUAUAUAAGAAGCUUAACCUGCCCCAUGAUAUUUAAAUGGCUGCAGUAUUUUGACUGUACAAAGGUAGCGUAAUCAUUAGUCUUUUAAUUGAAGACUGGUAUGAACGGUAAGACAAAGAAAUAUUGUCUUCUAGCUUAUUAAGUGAAUUUUUCUUUUUUGUUAAAAGACAAAAAUAUUAAUAUGUGACAAGAAGACCCUUUUAAAAUUAAUUUAAUUGGUGGUGGUUAGUAUAAAUAAGUUAAACUUAAAGUUAAAUUUUGCUGGGGCGGCAAAUAUAAAUAUUUGAACAAUAUUUUUCUUAACUAUUAUAUAUAAAUAUAGAAAAGAGCCUAAAGUGAUUUGUUGGCUGAAGGAUAAAGUUACUAAAGGGAUAACAGCGUAAUAUUAUUUGAGAGUUCUUAUUGACAAUAAUGUUUGCGA